UCUGGUGAUGAUGGCGAAGAGGUCACACCCGUUCCCAUCCCGAACACGGAAGUUAAGCUCUUCAGCGCCAAUGGUACUUGGGCGGUCGCGCCCUGGGAGAGUAGGACGUUGCCAGGU
rnacentral:rRNA from 1 species